UACGUAGGUGGCAAGCGUUGUCCGGAUUUACUGGGCGUAAAGAGCGCGCAGGCGGUCGUUCAAGUCGCGUGUGAAAGCCCCCGGCUCAACUGGGGAGGGUCACGCGAUACUGAUCGACUCGAAGGCAGGAGAGGGUAGUGGAAUUCCCGGUGUAGUGGUGAAAUGCGUAGAUAUCGGGAGGAACACCAGUGGCGAAGGCGACUACCUGGCCUGUUCUUGACGCUGAGGCGCG
rnacentral:rRNA from 1 species